AGUAUGGAGAGGUACAAAAAAUGAAUCCUCUUUUGCAACCCAGAACUCAUUAUUCAGUAUGAGUUUUGAUACAUAUAAGAAAGGAAAAA
rnacentral:snoRNA from 1 species